rnacentral:rRNA from 1 species
GGCCAGACUCCUACGGGAGGCAGCAGUGAGGAAUAUUGGUCAAUGGGCGCAAGCCUGAACCAGCCAAGUCGCGUGAGGGAAGACGGCCCUACGGGUUGUAAACCUCUUUUGCCGGGGAGCAAGCCUGAGCACGUGUGCCCAGGCGGAGAGUACCCGGAGAAAAAGCAUCGGCUAACUCCGUGCCAGCAGCCGCGGUAAUACGGAGGAUGCGAGCGUUAUCCGGAUUUAUUGGGUUUAAAGGGUGCGCAGGCGGGCUGUUAAGCCGGCGGUAAAAAUUCGGGGCUCAACCCCGUCCGGCCGUUGAAACUGGGGGCCUUGAGUGGGCGAGAAGAAGGCGGAAUGCGUGGUGUAGCGGUGAAAUGCAUAGAUAUCACGCAGAACCCCGAUUGCGAAGGCAGCCUUCCGGCGCCCUACUGACGCUGAGGCACGAAAGUGCGGGGAUCGAACAGGAUUAGAUACCCCAGUAGG